rnacentral:lncRNA from 1 species
GUCACGGCAUAAUCUCUUAUAAAUAAAUGUCAGUGUAGUCACUGAAUGCAGACUGGAUUUUUGCCUGACUACGGUGCUCAGCCUUCUAGACAAUAGUUAUGCUAAGGGAUUAUCUUUUAACAUUGUGCAGUUAUCUCCUUUGUUUGUUUUCUUUUUUCAUUAUUCACAUAAGCCAAGGGAAAUGAAAAGCAUCUUAUUUCAGGCAAAAAGGCCUGUGAAUGAUUAACUCUGGUUCCAUGCGUUGGGACUUUGCAUAGCAACCCCGUGGCUUGCAACGACAAAAAAGCUCAAGGCAGGAACAGCAGCCCAGGGACCUGAGACCAGCGUUCUCAAAUGAAGCCAGAUCUGCUGUUAGAGGAGAAUUCUUCUGUCCUAGCUGUGUCUCUGUGAUCUGUGGAUGAGGGUGGGAAAGCACCACUCAGUCAAUUGGGGUGUACAAAAUGGAGUUUGAGAAGGUCUCACAUCCAGGUUGUUUUGAAGCAAAGUCCAAGCAUUGUAUCACUUCAUCUGCAAAUAUUUCAAUAAGUACCCAAAAGUGGUUGGACUGAGUCCCAUGAAGCCAGAUCACUUCUGACUGCAAGGAGCUUGGAAAAGCAAGUAUCUGGAUCUUUUACCAGCUAAAUUUGGAGCGAUGAGGCUUCCUCUUUGAAGAUCACAGGUGAGAAGAUUAGGUGCUUUCUCAGAAGCCCAGCAACCUGAUGGGAGUGUGGAGUGAGCAAGACCCAAAUCGGAGCUUCAUCCCUGCAUGGUUCAUUUUGCUUAUUUGGCAAACUUGCCCUGCAGAAUCUACUCAAGCUUCCUCAGUUUCUCAAAUCAUUCUUGGGCAACAAAUGAACAAGAAAGAGGACGUCUUAUUAUCUGGUGUCUGGCUUGCUGAUUUAAUAACCUAGGAGACAGUGUUUGAAGAACACAAACUCUAAAGUCCUUCACUUAAAAAAAAAAAAAAACUUUCCCAAAUUGCUUACCAUUUGGAAAAAUUGCCUUACCUUCUUCAGUCAUCUCUGAUGUUGUCAUCCUCAGAGUAAGAAGUACGCAUUCAUAAGGAACCAUAACGUCCUUCAGGAAAUCCAGUACACCCUACAAUUUUACCUAAAACUUUGAUGUUGUUUUUUCUGAGCAUUUUACCUUCUAGGGAAAUGGAUCUCAUGCUGUUUAUCAGUUUCUGAAAGUUGUUAUUAAUCUCCCCUCAUCCCAAAAUUGAAGAACUUUGCUUAAAUCUUAGAAUCAGAACUUUGGCUCCAGUAAUAAAGACUUUUCAAUAUCUUUAUCUGCCAUUGAGUCUUACCUAACGAAAUAAAGCCUCCAAAGUGGGAAAAAAAAAAAAAAAAAAA